UCUGAAUAACAUGAAAACAGCCUAACCAGCUCUUCUAGGGCAAGUAAAAUGGUCAGAGUUUGGGUGGGGGCUAAAGCUUAAGAUGAUUAUGGCAUUGCACAAGGUCAGUGUGAACCAGAGUGACUUGACAAAACGGGCCAAGCAGCUGUUCAAACAAAACGGAAAUGACACAGGAAGUCAUAUUUAAUGAAAGGGGUUGCAGUCUCCCAUGAAGCGUGUAUCCAUGUAUACAGCAGUAGAACAUGCCUGGCUCUCCUCCACCGGUCAUACAUGGAGAAUGGUACAAUGCCUCCCAUCAAAAAGAGAGCUGGCCCGAGCAAGCACAGGUUUCACCUGAAGCAUGAAGACUUGCAGCGAGUUGUGAACUUUAUCAACAACUACGCAGAGGAUAAUACAAUAGUACUACCAGGACACCACCCAGGACACAAACACUUGGUGGAAAGCUGCUGCCAUUCCAUGUGACAAAAGCAGCGGUGUGGGGCAUCUCUACAAGGAAUCAAUGACAACACUUGCUUCGAUGCUGUGGAGCCUGGGGUUGUUGUCGCAAAGGACGUUCGGACUGAGUUGGGACCAGGUUUCAGGUGCUUUGCCAUGCUAACAUCCUUCCUUCCAUAGAAGGCGACGACAGAGAGGAUCGCCUCGGCUUUUAGUCCUUCAUUGUUUUAUGUAUUAUUUCUUACAUUGUUAGCCCAGAAAAUCUUAAGUGUUAUUACAUACAGCCGGGAAGAACUAUUAGAUAUCAGAGUGACGUCAACUUAUUAGUACUACGACCAGGAAUACGAUUUUCCCGUAGCGGAUGUUUGUUUGAACCACACAAGGCAUUAGAACUGUUUCCGGAGGCUGACCCAAAACAACAGGAGAGAGAGACGGAGCAGCCUUCUGAUCAGACUUCGGAGGCGCGCACACCACCCACCUCUUCCGAGUAUUUUACUCAGUAAUGUCCAGUCUCUAGAUAACAAGGCAGAUGAAGUUAGAGCUAGGGUUGCUUUCCAGAGAGACAUCCGGGAUUGUAACCUCUCUGGGCUAGGCGGGACGAAUUCAUCCCACCUACGCAACAGCCAGUUGAAUCCCAUGGCGCGAUUUUCAAAUACCUUAGAAAUGCUAUUACUUCAAUUUCUCAAACACAUGACUAUUUUACAGCAUUUUAAAGACAAGACUCUCGUUAAUCUAACCACACUGUCCGAUUUCAAAAAGGCUUUACAACGAAAGCAAAACAUUAGAUUAUGUCAGCAGAGUACCCAGCCAGAAAUAAUCAGACACCCAUUUUUCAAGCUAGCAUAUAAUGUCACAAAAACCCAGAAGACAGCUAAAUGCAGCACUAACCUUUGAUGAUCUUCAUCAGAUGACACACCUAGGACAUUAUGUUAUACAAUACAUGCAUGUUUUGUUCAAUCAAGUUCAUAUUUAUAUCAAAAACCAGCUUUUUACAUUGGCAUGUGACGUUCAGAACUAGCAUACCCCCCGCAAACCUCCGGUGAAUUUACUAAAUUACUCACGAUAAACGUUCACAAAAAACAUAACAAUUAUUUUAAGAAUUAUAGAUACAGAACUCCUUUGUGCAAUCGAGGUGUCCGAUUUUAAAAUAGCUUUUCGGUGAAAGCACAUUUUGCAAUAUUCUGAGUACAUAGCCAAGCCAUCACGGCUAGCUAUCAGCAUAUCGAUUGUAGUACCUGGGCUGACAAAACACUGGAUCACUGGUAGUCUAACUUCUGCGGUGCAUACAAGGCCCUCCCCCGCCCCCCGUUCGACAAAUCUGACCACGACUCCAUUUUGCUUCUCCCCUCCUAUAGGCAGAAACUCAAACAGGAUGUAACCAUGACUAGGACCAUUCAACGCUGGUCUGACCAAUCAGAAUCCACGCUUCAAGAUUGUUUUGAUCACGCGGAUUGGGACAAAUUCUGGGUAGCCUCAGAGAAUAAUAUAGAUUUACAUGCUGAUUCAGUGAGUGAGUUUAUAAGGAAGUGCAUAGGAGACGUUGUUCCCACUGUGACUAUUAAAACCUACCCUAACCAGAAACCGUGGAUAGAUGGUGGCAUUCACGCAAAACUGAAAGCACGAACCACCGCAUUUAACCAUGGAAAGAUGACCGGGAAUAUGGCUGAAUAUAAACAGUGUAGUUAUUCCCUCCGCAAGGCAAUCACAAAAGCGAAAAGUAAGUAUAGGGCAAAACGGCUCAGACACGAGACAUAUGUGGCAGGGUCUACAGGCAAUGAAAACCAGCCACGUCAAGAACACUGACGUCUUGCUUUCAGACAAACUAAAGAACUUCUUUGCCCGCUUUGAGGAUAAAACAAUGCCCGCUACCAAGGACUGCGCCCCCCCCCUCCUUCUCCAUGACCUACGUGAGUAAGACAUUUAAACGUGUUAACCCUCGCAAGGCUGCUGGCCCAGACAGCAUCCUUAGCCGCAUCCUCAGAGAAUGUCCAGACCAGCUGGCUGGUGUGUUUACGGACAUAUUCAAUGUCUCCCUAUCCCAGUCUGCUGUCCUCACAUGCUUCAAGAUAGCCACCAUUGUUCCUGUACCCAAGAAGGCAAAGGUAACUCAACUGAAUGACUAUCGCACCGUAGCACUCACUUCUGUCAUCAUGAAGUGCUUUGAGAGACUAGUCAAGGAUCAUAUCACCUCCGCCUUACAUGUCACCCUAGACCAACUGUAAUUUGCAUACCACCCCAAUAGGUCAACAGACGAUGCAAUCACCAUCACACUGCACACUGGUUACCGAGAGACUGAAAUAUAGCUUCUAUCUCAAGGCCAUCAGACUGUUAAACAGCCAUCACUAACACAGAGAGGCUCCUGCCUACAUACAGACUUGAAAUCAUUGGCCACUCUAACAAAUAGAACAGUAGUCACUUUAUUAAUGCCACUUCAAUAAUGAUGUUUACAUGUCUUGCACUACUCAUCCCAGAUGUAUAUAUUGUAUUUUAUACCAUUGCAUCUCGUCUAUGCUGGUUGGUCAUGGCCCAUCCAUAUAUUUAUAUGUACAUAUUAUUAGUCCAUCCUUUUACUUAGAUUUGUGUGUAUUAGGUAGUUUGUGGAAUUGUUAGAUUGCUUGUUAGAUAUUUCUGCACUGUCAGAACUAGAAGCACAAGCAUUUCGCUACACUCGCAAUAACAUCUGCUGACCAUGUGUAUGUGACCAAUAAAAUGUGAUUUGAUUUCAAAUGGCCUACCUGUAUAAGUACCACCUGGACUGGACACAGCUAGAAAAAUGUCCAUUGCUAAUGUCCAUUGCUCGUGUUUCUUGGCCCAAGCAAGUCUCUUCUUCUUAUUGGUGUCCUUUAUUAGUGGUUUCUUUGCAGCAAUUCAACCAUGACGGCCUAAUUCACACAGUCUCCUCUGAACAGUUAAUGUUGAGAUAUGUCUGUUACUUGAACUAUGUGAAGCAUUUAUUUGGGCUGCAAUUCCUGAGGCCGGUAGCUCUGAUGAACUUAUUCUCUGCAGCAGAGGUAACUAUGGGUCUUCCUUUCCUGUGGUGGUCUGUAACGCCCUGGCCAUAGAGAGGGGUUUUUGUUCUUUAUUUUGGUUAGGCCAGGGUGUUACAUUGGGUGGGCGUUCUAUGUUAAUUUUUCUAUGUUUUUGUAUUUCUUUGUUUUGGGCCGUGUGUGGCUACCAAUCA
rnacentral:lncRNA from 1 species